ACGACUCUCGGCAACGGAUAUCUCGGCUCUUGCAUCGAUGAAGAACGUAGCGAAAUGCGAUACUUGGUGUGAAUUGCAGAAUCCCGUGAACCAUCGAGUCUUUGAACGCAAGUGGCGCCCCAGGCCAUUAGGUUGAGGGCACGUCUGCCUGGGCGUCACGCAC
rnacentral:rRNA from 1 species